GAGGCAUGGUUUGUGAUUCCCAAAAACAAAUGUUGUGGCCUAAUUUUCCCAAACUAUGCCCUUAUCUCUACAUGUGAAAUAUUCCCUAUGCAUGACAUGUAAUGGAUUGUGGGGCCACACAUGGCCCAUGAGUGCCAAAUACAAAUUUCAUGGCAUAAGACCUUGGAAUUUGGCAUUGGACCAUGACAUAGGCAUUGAGAACCAUCAUUGGUGUGACAAUACUUGAAAUGGUGAUCAUAUCUCACUUGUAAGGUAAAGAUUCCUAAUUUAAGGCAUGUGUGGUGGUUUGGGGUACUUAUGCAUCUAAUUACUACACACCUAUCCCACACAACCAUAAACAUAAAUGCUAACACACCUAUAAAAAUAAGCAUCAAUGCACCUAACCUAUUUACUUACACACACAUCUAAUCGAUGCAUCUUGUUGGUGACCAUUCUCCUCUCAGGUAAAUAGUUAAUCAUGUGUUAAUUAGACCGAUUAGGUCCAAGGGGGAUAGGGGUUAAUGUGUUAGUAAUCACCUAAUCUAGACCUUGAAUCUACACCCCCUAACCAUAUAAAUCAUCGACCCAUAACCCAUAAACCUUCCAAAGAUGAAAUGUGAUUUAUUCCCAUUGCUCUGCAUGUCAAAGUGAAGAAAUUAAACCAAGAGUGGGUAAACGGAGGGAGUAACUAUGACUCUCUUAAGGUAUCCAGAUGCCUCAUCAUCUAAUUAGUGACACACAUGAAUGGAUUAACAAUAUUCCCACUGUCCCUAGCUACUAUCUAGAGAAACCACAUCCAAGGUAAUGGGCUUGGUAGAAUUAGCGGGGAAAUAAGACCAUGUUGAGCUUGACUCUAGUCCUAACCCAUUCAUAGUUUGGGA
rfam:Picea glauca, whole genome shotgun sequence.